CCACCGGCAGCCCAAGUGGUGGCCAUUUUUAUUGGGCCUAAAGCGUUCGUAGCCGGCCUGAUAAGUCUCUGGUGAAAUCCCGCAGCUUAACUGUGGGAAUUGCUGGAGAUACUAUCAGGCUUGAGGUCGGGAGAGGUUAGAGGUACUCCCAGUGUAGGGGUGAAAUCCUAUAAUCCUGGGAGGACCACCUGUGGCGAAGGCGUCUAACUGGAACGAACCUGACGGUGAGUAACGAAAGCCAGGGGCGCGAACCGGAUUAGAUACCCGGGUAGUCCUGGCCGUAAACGAUGUGGACUUGGAGUUGGGAUGGCCUCGAGCUGCCCCAGUGCCGAAGGGAAGCUGUUAAGUCCACCGCCUGGGAAGUACGGUCGCAAGACUGAAACUCAAAUGAAUUGGCGGGG
rnacentral:rRNA from 1 species